rnacentral:tRNA from 1 species
GAAGGUACAGCUCAGUGGAAAAGUAUGUGCUUAGCAUGCACAAAGUCCUAGGGUCAAUUCCCAGUAUCUCCA